UGGCCACAUCACGUUGAAACACCAGUUCCCGUACGAUCACCGAAGUUAAGCAACAUCGAACCUGGUCAGUACCUUGAUGGGUGACGGCUUGGGAAUACCAGGUGU